rnacentral:rRNA from 1 species
GGGACAACAGCCAGAAAUGGCUGCUAAUACCGCAUAAGCCUGCUGUGCCGCAUGGCACAGCAGGGAAAACCACGGUGGUACAGGAUGGGCCCGCGUCUGAUUAGUUAGUUGGCAGGGUAACGGCCUACCAAGACAACGAUCAGUAGCCGGCUUGAGAGAGUGGACGGCCACAUUGGGACUGAGACACGGCCCAGACUCCUGCGGGAGGCAGCAGUGGGGAAUAUUGCACAAUGGGGGGAACCCUGAUGCAGCAAUGCCGCGUGGGUGAAGAAGCACUCCGGUGCGUAAAGCCCUGUCAGCAGGGAAGAAAAUGACAGUACCUGGACAAGAAGCCCCGGCUAACUACGUGCCAGCAGCUGCGGUAAUACGUAGGGGGCAAGCGUUAUCCGGAUUUACUGGGUGUAAAGGGAGCGCAGGCGGCGUGGCAAGUCAGAUGUGAAAACCCGGGGCCCAACCCCGGGAGUGCAUUUGAAACUGCCAUGCUGGAGUGCCGGAGAGGUAAGCGGAAUUCCUAGUGUAGCGGUGAAAUGCGUAGAUAUUAGGAGGAACACCAGUGGCGGAGGCGGCUUACUGGACGGUAACUGACGCUGAGGCUCGAAAGCGUGGGGAGCAAACAGGAUUAGAUACCCUGGUAGUCCACGCCGUAAAC